rnacentral:rRNA from 1 species
UACGUAGGGGGCUAGCGUUGUCCGGAUUUAUUGAGCGUAAAGAGCGUGUAGGCGGCCAGAUAGGUCCGUUGUGAAAACUGGAGGCUUAACCUCCAGCUGUCGAUGGAAACCAUCUGGCUAGAGUCCGGAAGAGGAGAGUGGAAUUCCUGGUGUAGCGGUGAAAUGCGCAGAUAUCAGGAAGAACACCCGUGGCGAAGGCGGCUCUCUGGGACGUGACUGACGCUGAGACGCGAAAGCGUGGGGAGCGAACAGG